CCCCUAGAUGUUCUGGGCCGCACGCGCGCUACACUGAACAGUUCAACAAGUCUUAACCUUGGCCGAUAGGUCUGGGUAAUCUUUGAACGCUGUUCGUGAUUGGGAUAGACCUUUGCAAUUAUGGGUCUUCAACGAGGAAUUCCUAGUAAACGCAAGUCAUCAGCUUGCAUUGAUUACGUCCCUGCCCUUUGUACACACCGCCCGUCGCACCAACCGAUUGAAUGGUCCGGUGAAAUCUCGGGACGGCGGCUUGGUCGCUUGCGUCCGACUGCUGAAACUUGAUUAAACCAUAUCAUUUAGAGGAAGGUGAAGUCGUAACA
rnacentral:rRNA from 1 species